UGUGGUCUCAUGGAAGGAAAUAAGGAUAUCCUUGGACUGCAGAUCUUUUUUGAUUGCGAAUUUGUGUAUCAAACAAUCAAUGUAAUUAGUACUUAAAUGUGUUUAAUCGUAGGGCAAACGUGUUAUUUAUAAUGUCGAACCACACAAUAGAUGGUAAACUGAAAGGUUUAGAGGAGCGCUUCCAGAACGAGUUGCGUAUGCGAAAAGAAGGUUCUUUUCAUAGUCAAGGUGCUCUUGGGUCGAGUAGACCUGGCAGCGGACGGAGGCCUAACAAACCCUUAUUCGGCAAGGAUAUACCGGCGUUCCCGCCGCGAUCGCCACAUGCGGCGGAGACGGAGAACAGGAUGAGAGAGGUCCACAAGGUGAGCGGCAACCUGACCGUGAACAACGUGCAGUACCGCUCGAACGUGGACGACCUCAUCCAGCUCGGCGAGCUCGGCAGCGGCACCUGCGGGCAUGUGGUCAAGAUGAUGCACAAACCCUCGGGCGCAGUCAUCGCCGUUAAGCAAAUGCGGCGGUCGGGCAACUCUGAGGAGACGAAACGCAUCCUGAUGGAUCUUGAUGUAGUUCUGGGCUCACACGACUGUCAAUACAUAGUGCGUUGUCUCGGCUGCUUCGUGACCGACGCCGACGUGUGGAUCUGCAUGGAGCUGAUGGCGUCCUGUUUCGACAAGUUGCUCAAGCGCCUCUGCGCGCCCAUCCCCGAGGCGAUACUCGGCAAGGUCACCGUCGCGACGGUGAACGCACUAUCGUACCUGAAAGACACGCACGGCGUCAUCCACCGUGACGUCAAACCGAGCAACAUAUUACUGGACGAACGCGGGAACGUGAAGCUUUGCGACUUCGGUAUCAGCGGGCGACUGGUCGACUCCAAGGCCAAGACUAGGAGCGCCGGCUGCGCGGCGUAUAUGGCACCUGAACGAAUCGACCCGCCUGACCCCCAGCGGCCCGACUACGACAUACGCGCCGACGUGUGGUCGCUCGGCAUAUCGCUGGUCGAGCUGGCCACCGGCGUGUUCCCCUACAUGAACUGUCAGAACGACUUCGAAGUGCUCACCAAGGUGAUAUCAGACGACCCGCCGCAACUGCCUGAGGACAGCAACUUUUCACCAGAAUUCAAGUCUUUUGUAUCUCAAUGUCUAACGAAGAACUACAGACAGCGGCCGAAGUACGCGAAACUAUUGGAGCACCCGUUCGUAGUGAAAUCGGCGAGAAGUAACGUGUCCGUGGCGGACUGGUACGCCAACAUCACGGGGGGACACCCCACUCCGGCUAAGACGGUGACAACAACAGCGACGCACACAGUGACGAGUGCGCGGGAGUGCGAGGCGCCCGGGACGCCGCAACCCGCCAGGAACAUGCUCACCAGCCAGUGGAACGUGGAGCUCACACCCACGCCCGCCAGGGCGUGGUGGGCGUCGGCGAGCCCGCACGCCGGAGGCAGCUCCUCUCAGCCCGCGAGCCUCGAGACGGACUUCGCGAACCACUCGCCGUAUCCUCGGCGCAGGACGCUGGAGGCAUGCGCGUCGCCGCCCCCGCCGCCGGCCCGGCGGGUCUCCGCGGACAACCGGUGGCGGCCCUCGCCCGCGAGCUCGGGCAACACUAGUCCUAUAGUCCUCCAGAGGUUCUACCACCAGAGUCAGCAGCGGCGGUCGCGGGUCGACCUCCACGCCACGCCCCGCCACCGGAGCCUGAGCCGCGAGCACAGCACGGGGCGGUCGCCGGAGCCCCCGCCGCGCACGGGCCGCCCGCACCCCAUGCUCGGACACGAGGCUAACGGGGUGGACUUGGAGCCUCCGUCGCUCCACGACCGGCUGCACCCGCACCCGCCGUCGCCGCUCCUGCUCAACAAUAGGUACGCGAGGUUAUCUGAAGGCCGCAGCCAAAGCCUGACCCGCGCCGAGCCCCGGAACGGGUUCCGCACGGACCUGCCCGCGCCGCACGCGCCGCGGCACCGCCACGACGACCAAGGCUGGCUUCACUCGCUCGCUGGACUCCUCAAGAGGAGGCUGAGCGGUUACGUCAAGUGGCAUCACGUUGCAGGCAGGCGGGAGCCGAACCCGCACCCCAACAGGUGAGCUGAUACUAGCUAGUUUAUACAGGCGGCUUCACUCGCUCGCUGGACUCCUCAAGAGGAGGCUGAGCGGUUACAUCAAGUGGCAUCACGUUGCAGGCAGGCGGGAGCCGAACCCGCACCCCAACAGGUGAGCUGAUACUAGCUAGUUUAUACAGGCGGCUUCACUCGCUCGCUGGACUCCUCAAGAGGAGGCUGAGCGGUUACAUCAAGUGGCAUCACGUUGCAGGCAGGCGGGAGCCGAACCCGCACCCCAACAGAUGGGCGCCAGCGGAGAGUUGGAGCGUGCCCGCGUCCCCCCUCCCCCCGCGGGCGCCGCCCCCGCGCCCCGCGGACUAGCGCCGCGACACGUGGUACGUCGACAAGUGGCUCCACCGCGUCGCGUACUGCACACCGUAGAGGUAGAGCCACCCACAAACAAGUCACAGUUACGCUUGAAGGUAACCUUACGGCAUGAGAUUACAGGCUAUUAUCGUUUGACAUUACAGCUUGUUAUAAUCAUACUCGACUUGAGAUUAUAAAGAGUUGAAGCAGGCAACCCCGCGUUUCAAAUCAAAACUCUACUUAAAAUAACAGGCGGGCUUGUUAUUUGUGAACGAUUAUUUUGUUAUUGUGUAAUUGAUAGUCAAGCUUAUGUCAAAUUGAGCCAAUAGGUAAGCUUGUUAUGGUUAUUUCAAACUCAUUAUGUCAAAUUAAGUCUCAACUAAAUUAAGUCAAACUUUGUAUGUCACAUUUAAUGGUUCAGGACAGAUUGUGAUUCGGCAUU